rnacentral:rRNA from 1 species
UACGUAGGGUGCAAGCGUUGUCCGGAAUUAUUGGGCGUAAAGAGCUCGUAGGCGGUCUGUCGCGUCGGCUGUGAAAACCUGGGGCUCAACUCCGGGCCUGCAGCCGAUACGGGCAGACUAGAAUUCGGUAGGGGAGACUGGAAUUCCUGGUGUAGCGGUGAAAUGCGCAGAUAUCAGGAGGAACACCGGUGGCGAAGGCGGAUCUCUGGGCCAUUACUGACGCUGAGGAGCGAAAGCGUGGGGAGCGAACAGG